UUGAAACACUGGUUCUCAUUUGAUCACCAAAGUUAAGAAACAUUAAACUUGGUCAGUACCUAGAUGGGUGACCACUGGGGAAUACCAGAUGAUGUAAG